rnacentral:rRNA from 1 species
AAAGCUUGCUUUUGAUGGUCGUCGACCGGCGCACGGGUGAGUAACGCGUAUCCAACCUGCCCAUCACUUGGGGAUAACCUUGCGAAAGUAAGACUAAUACCCAAUGAUAUCUCUAGAAGACAUCUGAAAGAGAUUAAAGAUUUAUCGGUGAUGGAUGGGGAUGCGUCUGAUUAGCUUGUUGGCGGGGUAACGGCCCACCAAGGCAACGAUCAGUAGCCGGGCUGAGAGGCUCUUCGGCCACAUUGGGACUGAGAUACGGCCCAAACUCC